UGUGAAGCGCUCACGCCAGUGAGUGUGGAGUCGUUGUUGAAAUACCACUCUGAUCGUAUUGGACCUCUAACCUCGGACCAUGAUCUGGUUCAGGGACAGUGCCUGGUGGGUAGUUUAACUGGGGCGGUUGCCUCCCAAAAUGUAACGGAGGCGCCCAAAGGUUCCCUCAGCCUGGUUGGCAAUCAGGUGUCGAGUGCAAGUGCACAAGGGAGCUUGACUGUGAGACUGACAGGUCGAGCAGGGACGAAAGUCGGGACUAGUGAUCCGGCACCGGCAAGUGGAAGCGGUGUCGCUCAACGGAUAAAAGGUACCCCGGGGAUAACAGGCUGAUCUUCCCCAAGAGUCCAUAUCGACGGGAUGGUUUGGCACCUCGAUGUCGGCUCGUCGCAUCCUGGGGCUGGAGUAGGUCCCAAGGGUUGGGCUGUUCGCCCAUUAAAGCGGCACGCGAGCUGGGUUUAGAACGUCGUGAGACAGUUCGGUCUCUAUCCGCCGCGCGCGUUAGAAACUUGAGGAAGGCUGUCCCUAGUACGAGAGGACCGGGACGGACGAACCUCUGGUGUGCCAGUUGUUCCACCAGGAGCACCGCUGGUUAGCUACGUUCGGAAGGGAUAACCGCUGAAAGCAUCUAAGCGGGAAGCCUGUUCCAAGAUGAGGUUUCUCACCCCCUCGAGGGGGUAAGGCCCCCGGCAGACCACCGGGUUGAUAGGCCAGAACUGGAAGUCCGGUAACGGAUGCAGGUGACUGGUACUAAUAGGCCGAGGACUUACCACAA
rnacentral:rRNA from 1 species